AUUGGAGGGCAAGUCUGGUGCCAGCAGCCGCGGUAAUUCCAGCUCCAAAAGCGUAUAUUAAAGUUGUUGCAGUUAAAAAGCUCGUAGUUGAACCUUGGGCUUGGCUGGCCGGUCCAUCUUUUUGAUGCGUACUGGACCCAGCCGAGCCUUUCCUUCUGGGUAGCCAUUUAUGGCGAACCAGGACUUUUACUUUGAAAAAAUUAGAGUGUUCAAAGCAGGCCUUUGCUCGAAUAUAUUAGCAUGGAAUAAUAGAAUAGGACGUUAUGGUUCUAUUUUGUUGGUUUCUAGGACCAUCGUAAUGAUUAAUAGGGACGGUCGGGGGUAUCAGUAUUCAGUUGUCAGAGGUGAAAUUCUUGGAUUUACUGAAGACUAACUACUGCGAAAGCAUUUACCAAGGACGUUUUCAUUAAUCAAGAACGAAAGUUAGGGGAUCGAAGAUGAUCAGAUACUGUCGUAGUCUUAACCAUAAACUAUGCCGACUAGGGAUCGG
rnacentral:rRNA from 1 species